rnacentral:lncRNA from 11 species
CUCUAGAGCAGCAAAUCUUGAAGAGCACCAAAUGGAUCAUGGUGGAUUCCUGGAUCUCCACCCUUCUCAUUUGGCUGAAGAAAAUUCUAAGAAGAAGAAGAAGAAGAAGAAGAAGAAGAGGAAGACGACGACGAAGAAGACGAAGAAGAUUCUAAAAAACAUCAUCAGGAACAAAAGCAAUGAUAGCAGCAUCCAUAUUUCUAUGUAUAUCAUCUUAGGGCAGUGAACUAUCUAC